rnacentral:rRNA from 1 species
ACUCCUACGGGGGGCAGCAGUGAGGAAUAUUGGUCAAUGGUCGGGAGACUGAACCAGCCAAGCCGCGUGAGGGAUGAAGGUACAGAGUAUCGUAAACCUCUUUUGUCAGGGAACAAAGGCGGGGACGUGUCCCCGGAUGAGUGUACCUGAAGAAAAAGCAUCGGCUAACUCCGUGCCAGCAGCUGCGGUAAUACGGAGGAUGCGAGCGUUAUCCGGAUUUAUUGGGUUUAAAGAGUGCGUAGGCGGACAGUCAAGUCAGCGGUAAAAAUGCGGUGCUCAACGCCAUACAGCCGUUGAAACUGGCG